rnacentral:rRNA from 1 species
GACGGAGGAUGCAAGUGUUAUCCGGAAUCACUGGGCGUAAAGCGUCUGUAGGUGGUUUAGUAAGUCUAUUGUUAAAUCUUGAGGCUCAACUUCAAAUCAGCGAUGGAAACUGCUAGACUAGAGUGUGGUAGAGGUAAGAGGAAUUUCUAGUGGAGCGGUGAAAUGCGUAGAUAUUGGAAAGAACACCGAUGGCGAAGGCAUCUUACUGGGCCAUAACUGACACUCAGAGACGAAAGCUAGGGUAGCAAAUGGGAUUAGAUACCCCAGUAGUCCUAGCAGUAAACGAUGGAUACUAGAUGUUGCCCGUUCACCGCAGUGUCAAAGCUAACGCGUUAAGUGUUCCGCCUGGGGAGUACGCACGCAAGUGUG